rnacentral:rRNA from 1 species
GGGGAAUAUUGGACAAUGGGGGAAACCCUGAUCCAGCCAUGCCGCGUGAGUGAUGAAGGCCUUCGGGUUGUAAAGCUCUUUCGCACGCGACGAUGAUGACGGUAGCGUGAGAAGAAGCCCCGGCUAACUUCGUGCCAGCAGCCGCGGUAAUACGAAGGGGGCAAGCGUUGUUCGGAAUUACUGGGCGUAAAGGGCGCGUAGGCGGUGCACUAAGUCAGGCGUGAAAGCCCUGGGCUCAACCCGGGAAUUGCGCUUGAUACUGGUACGCUUGAAUCCAGGAGAGGUUGGUGGAAUUCCCAGUGUAGAGGUGAAAUUCGUAGAGAUUGGGAAGAACACCGGUGGCGAAGGCGGCCAACUGGACUGGUAUUGACGCUGAGGCGCGAAAGCGUGGGGAGCAAACAGGA